CCUACGGGAGGCUGCAGUAGGGAAUCUUCCACAAUGGGCGAAAGCCUGAUGGAGCAACGCCGCGUGGGUGAAGAAGGUCUUCGGAUCGUAAAACCCUGUUGUUAGAGAAGAAAGUGCGUGAGAGUAACUGUUCACGUUUCGACGGUAUCUAACCAGAAAGCCAGGGCUAACUACGUGCCAGCAGCCGCGGCAAUACGUCGGAGGCAAGCGUUAUCCGGAUUUAUUGGGCGUAAAGGGAGGGAAGGCGGUCGUUUAAGUCUGAUGGGAAAGCCUUCGGCUUAACCGGAGUAGUGCAUUGGAAACUGGGAGACUUGAGUGCAGAAGAGGAGAGUGGAACUCCAUGUGUAGCGGUGAAAUGCGUAGAUAUAAGGAAGAACACCAGUGGCGAAAGCGGCUCUCUGGUCUGUAACUGACGCUGAGGUUCGAAAGCGUGGGUAGCAAACAGGAUUAGAUACCCUAGUAGUC
rnacentral:rRNA from 1 species